GUCCACGCCGUAAACGAUGGGUGCUAGGUGUGGGGUGGUCGACUCCCCCGUCGCCGAAGCUAACGCAUUAAGCACCCCGCCCUGGGGAGGUACGGCCGCAAGGCUAAAACUACAAAGGAAUUGACGGGGCCCGGCACAAGCAGCGGAGCAUGUGGUUUAAUUCGACGCAACGCGAAGAACCUUACCAAGGCUUGACAUGGUCGGGAAAGCCGUAGAAAUACGGCCCUCCUUCGGGACUCGAUCACAGGUGGUGCAUGGCUGUCGU
rnacentral:rRNA from 1 species